UAUAUUUAUCCUCUGCUAAUUAAUAUAGUAGUGCUGUACUAGCUAUUCCGUAGUUUUAGCUGCAUGCUGCUCCGAUCCACGCUCAAGCAUGCAUGAUUCUCACUCACAUAGUGUAAUAUAUAUAUAUCUCCUUUUUUCCUUCCUUCUUAAUUACCAGGCCAGUAUAUAUAUAAACUUAAGCAACCAUGCUGGAAUUAGUUGCUCUUGUCGUCUCCGUGGUAGGGUGGUUCGCCACGCCCAUCAUCACCAAGUCCAUCGCCGCGGCAACUGAAUACGCGAGGGAGACGGAGAAACAGUUCAAUGAGGUCAGUACUAAGCUGGAUAAGCUGGCCAAAGAUCUUAAGCUCAUCCAGACGACUGUUCAUAAAGCCCGGCUAUAUUUCAUCAACAAGGGAGAAGGGGAGGAGAUUCUGUGGGAGCUCAAGGGUGCCAUUGAUGAAGCCGAUGAGAUUCUGGACUUGUUCGAGUACGAGAGACUAAAGAACAAGCCCGACGGCAUUUGUUACAAGUUCGCACGAGACUUUACUCGUCGGCUGGACAAAGUGCUGGACAUUGCUCGCGGGAGCGCGCAGGUCUUCCUAGAGAAUCCAACCAACAUUAUUGAUGAUUCGGACAUCUUCCGUUCAGCUAGAGAAACGGGCCCGUCAACUCGGAAUGAUUUCUUCUUUGGCUACGCCCAGCAACAUGGCAGGCUAAAGCGUCUGCUUAUAGUGGAGCAGAAUAAGGUUAUAGCCAUCAUAGGCCAUGGAGGGAUGGGGAAGACUCGCCUUGCUCGCCAGGUCUACCAUGAUAACAAGCUCAAGUUUGAUGUGCGCAUAUGGGCACACAUCGGCAACAAAUCAGGUGAACUUGAUCUUUUGACGCAGAUAUGCAAGUCGGCCAUCAAGAGUUCUGGUUCGUUAUGGCUGACGAUUCCAGACGAUCCGAGCAUUGCUGUCCUUCAUUCCAAGCUUCAAGUUCUGGUAAACCCCAAAAGAGUUGUCUGGUCGUGCUUGAUGAUGUAUGGCAGAACGAGGGUGGAUCUGGGAUCAUCCGGAGUCUAAGAGACGAGGCAUGGAUGAGCGUGCUGGACAUGUUCAAGGGGCUUAAAAAUUGUAAAGUUGUGAUGACCACCCGAGACAAGGUUUGUUCCAAUACAGUAAAUGCAAAACCAACAAUCUUCCUAGAUGGAAUCAGCGAAGAAGAGAUAAUGAGUAAGCUGCUCCUCAAAUACAUUGCAAAUUUACCUGAUGAUCAAGUACGCCCACAAGGUCUGCCGGAACGGAUUGCUGACAAGUUGAAGGGAUCCCCACGAGCAGCUAUUAGUAUUGUUGAUAAGCUCAAGACAGCCACUUGUAAGAUUCAGAAGGCCAAUAUGGAGCACAUCAUCUUCCUUGAACUCGACAACGACCAUCACAUCGAACGCCUAUAUGAAGAUCAUCUAUUCACCUUCCGUCACCUACCACCUUGGUUACAGAGCUGCCUGGCAUUCUGCAGCAUCUUCCCAUUCGACUGGAAGUUCAAGCCUGCAAAGUUAACCAAGAUGUGGCUUGCUCAUGGUAUUAUUCACGACACUCGACUGCAACUGGCAGAAGAAUACUUUUACGAUCUCGUGAAUCGCUGCUUAUUCAAACGAGUCAGUUAUAGCCACUAUGUGAUCCAUGUGCACAUCCAUUCCAUGAUACGCCGGGUCUCUCUCAAUGAAUGUAUGAUCGUUGACAAUAAUGGUUCAUCUUCAUCAGACUCAGACAUCGUCCCUGCAACAGUUCGCCACUUAUCUGUGACUGCCAGCCGCCUAGCUAAGCUCAAACCAGCAGAGAGAGCAAACCAAGUGGAGAGGAGGAGGAAGAAGAAGGAAUCUGGCGACGAAUUCACGACGGUGCGGACACUGCUUGUCUUCGCAGACAAGGAAGCUCCUUCCUCCUCGCCAUGGUGUUGCCUUCCUGAGGCAAACAAAAUACUCAGAAAGUUCAAGCGCGUCAAGGUACUGGAUUUGACGGAUACACACAUAACUCAGCUGCCUGAUAGAGAUAGUGUCGGUGAGCUCAAACAUCUGCGAUACCUAGGUUUUCCUAACACCGUGGAUCAGCCUCCUGCUGAUGACAAUAAGAUCACCAAGCUACUACUCCUUGAGACGGUGUACGUCAGCAAGCCUCAGCCGCCGGGGGAUGAUAUGGACAUGGAGAUGGACAUUGAGGGCAUCGCCAAGAUUGGUGGCAUUGGAAAGUUGGAGAAACUGCAAGGAUCGCUGGAAUUUCACGUGCACGAGGAAAAGCAUAUAAAGGGGCAUACAAUGUCGGAGCUUGAGAAGAUGAACUCUAUUAGCAGGACCCUCAGCAUAAAGGGUGUUCAAACCGUCCAAAGCAAGGAAGAAGCGCACAAGGCACUACUUGAAAACAAAGCAUCUCUCCAAGUCCUCAAGCUUGAUUGGGAGAACGAUGCAGAUGAUCCAUGUAAUGUAAAGGUAAAGCUGGUAAAGAUAAUGCUGGCGCAGUCGGCGUCCUGGUUCUUGAAGGCCUCCAACCUCAUGUCAAUCUCCGUGGGCUGCAUAUCACAAGGUACCCUGGGAACGAGCUGCCUACCUGGCUGUGGCAGAUGAAAAACCUAACCAGCCUCUACCUUACCAGCUGCAUGCCCAGCACAGAACUAAAGUCAUCUGUUGCCCGUCUCCAACAAUACUUUCCUCAGCUCAACAUUGUGACACUGCCUCCUCUCGACACUCCGGCUCCAGCAUCAACAGCCGUGGGUGGUGAGCCCCCUGCCUCUUUCAGCAACAGUCGUCAACAGCGCUCUCCACCGACGCCGCGGCCACCUCGGCGCCCAACCAACAGUAAGGCCCAGACGAAGGUCAGUUCCCAUGAUCGCGCAAAGUGGCAAGCAGCGCGGGAAGCACGCAAGACCGAUACGACCAAUCUUCGUGGGGGAACCGGUGAUAUUUGUACAGCGCUGCUGUAUAUGUGCAUGAUUUUCUUGUUGUUUAAGGUGUUAUUCUCCUACUGCUCUUAAUCUGGAUGUUUUAUUCUUGAAUUUGUGGCCUCUGUAGGGGAGUUGUUCCAUGACUUGUUGAAAAAUCUGUAUAAUUCAAUAAUACGUGGUGCUCAUGCAUUGCAAAAAC